rnacentral:lncRNA from 1 species
GUUAAUUAACUUAAAACCCAAUGUAUAAUUCGGAUAUGCUAUAAAUGGAACAAACUAGAGAUGGCAGAAUGUGGAUACUACAUCAUUGGUUCUUUUUAACUAUGAUGCAUAGAAGAGGGGUUUACUAACUAAACUACUUCAUAUCAGUGUUUAGUUAUACACAACAACUGGCGUGAUUCUAAUGAAAGUUGCUAAUUAUCCUAUAUACAACUGAAAAUACAGAAUACAACUAAGUGUUUCAAAACUUUAAUUCUUCAUUUAUUCAUGCUUCACAUUUUAGCUGCAUUGAACCAGU